rnacentral:rRNA from 1 species
GAUGAACGCUGGCGGCGUGCCUAAUACAUGCAAGUCGAGCGAACGGACGAGAAGCUUGCUUUUCUGAUGUUAGCGGCGGACGGGUGAGUAACACGUGGAUAACCUACCUAUAAGACUGGGAUAACUUCGGGAAACCGGAGCUAAUACCGGAUAAUAUUUUGAACCGCAUGGUUCAAAAGUGAAAGACGGUCUUGCUGUCACUUAUAGAUGGAUCCGCGCUGCAUUAGCUAGUUGGUAAGGUAACGGCUUACCAAGGCAACGAUGCAUAGCCGACCUGAGAGGGUGAUCGGCCACACUGGAACUGAGACACGGUCCAGACUCCUACGGGAGGCAGCAGUAGGGAAUCUUCCGCAAUGGGCGAAAGACUGACGGAGCAACGCCGCGUGAGUGAUGAAGGUCUUCGGAUCGUAAAACUCUGUUAUUAGGGAAGAACAUAUGUGUAAGUAACUGUGCACAUCUUGACGGUACCUAAUCAGAAAGCCACGGCUAACUACGUG